CGGGAGAGCGGUUACCACGGAGUGAUUCAUGACUGGGGUGAAGUCGUAACAAGGUAGCCCUAGGGGAACCUGGGGCUGGAUCACCUCCUUA
rnacentral:ncRNA from 1 species